CUUUUUAGUCUUGGAUCGAUGUAUGUUAGCUGAAAUGGGCUACUCAUCAAUUACGUCAGUUGGGCCUUUCUUAUUUUUACUUGUAAAUCAUCCAACCCGGCCCAACUGUAUCAUGUAUAUAUAUAUGUAGACCCAUUACAAUGAACAGUUUUGGUCAGAUAUUUCCAGAAAUCAAAAGCUUUUCUCUUUCUUCUCUUUCUUCUCUCAAACGAAUUAGGGUUUGAGUAGAUUGUUUCUUUCGAUUUUCGAUCGUCUUCUACUCUAACAUGGUAUCAGCGCCAGGUUUCGGGUAGAUCUAUGGUGGGGCUUUCAAUCGAUAUUACCCUCGUGUGGAGUCUUUCGAUUUGUGGAAGCUGAUUCGGCUCGUGUGGAGCUUUUCGAGUUUUUGUGGGAGCUUUUCGAGCUUUUCCAAGUUUUCGUGGCUGAUUUGAUUUUGGAGUAGCCUCAUGUGAAGUUUUCGCAUACUGUGGAAGCUGAGCUGGUUUUGACGCUGUUUUCAGUUGCACAAGACCUCGCCUUCUUCAGGUUUAAGAAGAAGGCCGGUAAAAUCCUUCCGUAUAAACUCUACUUUAUUCGAUCGAGUGAUUUUUGGUUGUCUGACUGUUCAGAAUUAUUCGAUCUGAGAUUUGGUGUUCAAAUAUUCCAUGUAAUUGCUUAAACUGUUUUAGUAUGACGACUACUCAACGAGAGAACAAUAAUGCUACUUCGACCACUCGUAAUACGAAUGGUUUCGAUGAAUUUACCCUCGAUGCAUCACAUCCCUUUUAUGUUCAUCCUUCUGAGAACCCUAGUUCUCAACUCGUUCCCAUAGUUUUUAAUGGCAUUGGAUUUGCUGUAGGGAGAAAUAGCAUAAUCACCUCUUUAGCUGCUAAGAAUAAGUUGGGGAUGGUAGAUGGUAGAUUUCCCAGACCUGAACCUAACAAUCCUUACUUUCAAUUUUGGGAAAGAUGUGACCACAUGGUUAAGGCGUGGAUCAUAAAUUCCCUUUCCAGAGAUAUAGCAAUCAGUGUGAUGCGUCUUCCUAGUGCUAGAGAAGUGUGGAAAGAUAUAAAUGACAGGUUCGGGCUGUCAAAUGGGUCUAGAUAUAUUCACAUUCAAAAAGAGAUAAACUCCACAGUUCAACGUUUUUCUAGCAUUUCUGCCUACUUUACUAAGAUGAAAAGUCUAUGGGAUGAGCUCAAUGCUGCAUAUGUUGGAUCUGAAAGUACAUGUGGAGCAUUGAGAAAAUUCAUCCAAGAUCAACAAUUGUUUCAGUUUCUCAGUGAAUGAGAAUUUCAAUACUGUAAGACGCAGCACUUUGAUGAUGGCCCCAUUGCUAUCUAUCAGUAAAGUGUAUGGACUUCUACAACAGGAUGAGAGUCAAAAAGAAACUCAAACUGGUCUUCCCAGUUUCUCCAGUGAUUCAGCUGGUUUUCAAGCUUCCAUGAAUUCUAAUUCAUCUAACAACAAACCUUAUAACCAAAGGGUCUCUUUUCACUCAAACAAAAACCAGACUGUGUUUUGCAAGUAUUGCAAAAAGCCUAGCCAUACAAUUGAAUCAUGUUUUCCUGCUGAUUUCAAGUUCGCUAAGAACAAGAAACCAGCUGCUUCUUGUGUACAAAUGAUAAAUUCUCCUAUUCAGAGUCCUUCAAACAGUACUAGCAGUUCUGUCUUAUCUUCACAAGAGAUGCCAUCAGCUGGGUUCAGUAAAGAACAGUAUGAACAUCUCAUGACUCUGUUUCAACAAGCACGUCUCUCCCAUGGUUUCUGGACAGUCUACUACAGGUGAACCAUCUGGUUUUGCCAAUUUUGCAGUUUUUACAGGCUCCCCAGGUCCCUCAUCUUCUGGCUGGCAUUCAUGUGUUGCGCUAUUUCUUAAUGCCCCUGAUCUUGGGCUUCUUUUCAAUAGAAACUCUGAUCUCAGCUUACUGGCUUACUCAGAUUCUGACUGGGCUGCUUGUGCUAUUUCUAGACGUUCAGUGACUGGUUUUUUUCACUUUGGGUGGCUCUCCUAUUUCUUGGAAGUGCAAGAAGCAACCUACUGUGUCUUUAUCAUCAGCUGAGGCUGAAUAUAGAGCAUUACGAAAAGUUGUGGCUGAGGUUUCUUGGUUGAUACGCUUAUUAUCUGAUUUUGGUGUUUGUAUUUCUCAUCCUGUUCCUGUUUAUUGUGACAGUCAAGCAGCUCUUCACGUAGCCCGGAAUCCUGUUUUUCAUGAGCGUACGAAGCAUAUAAAGAUUAACUGCCAUUAUGUUCGUGAUUGUGUUCGUGCUGACAUUAUAUCCCUGCACCACGUCUGUUCUGCUGAUCAGUUAGCAGAUGUCUUCACCAAAUCUCUGCCUGGACCAGCUCAUCAUGCUAUUAUUGCCAAGCUUGGUGUGCACACACCCUCCAGCUUGAGGGGGGUGUUGGAAUUACAUAGUUACUCCAGCUUGAGGGGGUGUUGGAAUUACAUAGUUACAUAUAGUUGCAUGUAUAUACAUUUUUCCUUUUUAGUCUUGGACUGAUGUAUAUUAGCUGAAAUGGGCUACUCAUCAAUUACAUCAGUUGGGCCUUUCUUAUUUUUACUUGUAAAUCAUCCGACCCGGCCCAACUGUAUCAUGUAUAUAUACAUGUAGACCCAUUACAGAAAUCAAAAGUUUUUCUCUUUCUUCUCUCAAACGAAUUAGGGUUUGAGUAGAUUGUUUCUUUCGAUUUUCGAUCGACUUCUACUCUGACAUUGUGAGAGAAGGAAGAUGGCAAAAAGUGAAAACAUUUUUUUCUUGUUUUUCACUUUCCCAAA